GCACGUUGCGCAGAUCCACAGGUCAGGACAGGCCGGCAAAACUCAUCUGACCUCAUACUCCAGUGAGCCCAAACUGCAUAAAUCCCCUAACAGCUCGAGACCACAGACCAGCACAGAUUCGCCUAAGAAUCCCCACGCCAGAAACAGCGUGGUGACAACGUUUCGAAUACCGGCUAAAGAUUCUCCGAAGACUCAACACAGCAGAGCGUCUGCUGCCUCUCAUAUACCGGCUAAGGAUUCGCCUAAGCUCAACAGCUCAGCUUCAACCUCUCAAACAGCAGCUAAAGACCCCAAGAAUCAAAACAAGCUUGCGUCUUCUCAUAUACCAGUGAAAGUGUCACCAAAAAUUAACAAAGUGCCCUCCAAGACAUCAAUGAAAGAGUCGCCAAGUAACAGCAGCACACCUCUCUCCCUGUCGGACGACCUGUCUCCUGUCAGUGAUGAUGGGAGUCUGGCUCAGGCUCUCAGGGCUGAUGUCAUCCCUGUCACACCGCCCCCUGUUGUCCACCAACAGGUAAAACAGGAGACAAAACAAACCAGCCCUGUUGUCCAGGAUUCUCAAAAGCCACUCAAGGAAGAAGGCAAACACGUACCUUCUCCACACACUCAUCUGUCUCCUGUCAGUGAUGAUGGGAUUCUGGCUCAGGCUCUCAGGGCUGAUGUAAUCCCUGUCACAUCUCCCCCUGUAGUCCACCAACAGGUAAAACAGGAGACAAAACAAACCAGCCCUGUUGUCCAGGAUUCUCAAAAGCCACCCAAGGAAGAAGGCAAACGUGUACCUUCUCCACGCACUCAUCAUAAAGACGCACACAGUCCACAACCACAGCAAAAAGACACGCACACACACACUCAAAAACAGAUGACGCACACGGUAGAAGCCCAACAUAAGGCCCCACACACCACCAAGACUCAACACACAUCUCUAUCCAGCCAGCCAACACACGCAUUGACUGCUGCCAGUCAACACAGUGCCACCCCAAAGACCAAACGGCAGACAUCGCCGCACGUCACAGAGCGAAAAACGGUGGCGCCGAGAGAUAAGAGUGCGGAGAAGAAAGGAAAAGAGAAUGACGGGAAGGGAGUGAGAGGCAAAGACGUGGGGAAGAGUGUAGCAACUAUGACUGGUCCGGAAGGACUGGGAAAGGAUGUGGCGGUGCAAGUCUCUGAUGAUCUUUGCAACGACGUCACGGUCACGGUAUCGCAGCUUGACAAUCACCUCACUGGUGCCACUGGUGGGCACAUCAAUGCUGAGGAGAGCGCGCUGGUCCUGCGCCCUCAAAAGCCAAUAGUUCGCCAGCGUCCAUCAUCACAGUACGUCUGUCAGAUUGAGAUCGAGCUUAGCAGCCAAUCACCAAAAACCUCAGGCCAGGCUCCUCCCCCAGCUACAGCUGUGAUCCCAGCUCUCCCCUCUCUUUCUGGGAAAUCAACCGACGGACCUGACAUGCCCACGGACCAAUCUGAAGCGAAAGACACGACAGGGGAGGGACUGAGACAGGAGAAAGCAGGGCCCGUGCAGGAAGUGACGUGGGAUGACCAAGGGCUUACAUGGGAGGUGUAUGGCGCCACGCUUGAUUGGCAGGCGCUCGGCUCAGCCGUCCAGAGGCAUUUGCACACCCAGAUAGAGCAGCUGGAGCUACGCCUC
rnacentral:lncRNA from 1 species